GACGAACGCUGGCGGCGUGCUUAACACAUGCAAGUCGAACGGAAAGGCCCUGCUUUUGUGGGGUGCUCGAGUGGCGAACGGGUGAGUAACACGUGAGUAACCUGCCCUUGACUUUGGGAUAACUUCAGGAAACUGGGGCUAAUACCGGAUAGGAGCUCCUGCUGCAUGGUGGGGGUUGGAAAGUUUCGGCGGUUGGGGGUGGACUCGCGGCUUAUCAGCUUGUUGGUGGGGUAGUGGCUUACCAAGGCUGUGACGGGUAGCCGGCCUGAGAGGGUGACCGGCCACAUUGGGACUGAGAUAGGGCCAAGGCUCCUACGGGAGGCAGCAGUGGCGAAUAUUACACAAUGGGCGGAAGCCUGAUGCAGCAACGCCGCGUGCGGGAUGACGGCCUUCGGGUUGUAAACCGCUUUCGCCUGUGACGAGGCGUGAGUGACGGUAAUGGGUAAAGAAGCACCGGCUAACUACGUG
rnacentral:rRNA from 1 species